CUUCUAUGUUGGGAUCAAUUUUUGUUAUCCUGUUCAUUGGAACAGACUAUAAAAGUUUGGGGUGUUGCAGGAGGCAACUUGGAAGUAACCUAUACACAACUAAGAACAUUUCACUGAGAGGGCGAGGAUAUUGUCAAAACAUGAAGUUAGAGACAUUCAGGUUUGUCCUGAUGGCCUCAUUUUCACUGGUGAUGGAAUCGGAAUGUUAAGCGUAUGGAAGCUGUUGGCAAAGUCAAGUGGAUGAGCCUUCUCAUUAAAAUUUGUACGAGAAACAAGUUGUGGUAUAAAUUGCAGAGUUUAGCUGUAUAUGAAGAGGCAUAGAAAGAACCUAACACUGGGUUUUUUAUCCCUGGUGAUUUUUUCUAAUUUUUUUCAUGGGUUGUGCUUUUCAAUCUGUUCAAAUUUUUGUAGAAGAACUGUAUAAUUUAAUACUGGAAUAAAAUUAUUUUGUUAGCCAUCUCA